rnacentral:rRNA from 1 species
AUUGAACGCUGGCGGCAUGCCUUACACAUGCAAGUCGAACGGUAACAGGUCUUCGGAUGCUGACGAGUGGCGAACGGGUGAGUAAUACAUCGGAACGUGCCUAGUAGUGGGGGAUAACUACUCGAAAGAGUGGCUAAUACCGCAUGAGAUCUACGGAUGAAAGCAGGGGAUCGCAAGACCUUGUGCUACUAGAGCGGCCGAUGGCAGAUUAGGUAGUUGGUGGGAUAAAAGCUUACCAAGCCGACGAUCUGUAGCUGGUUUGAGAGGACGAUCAGCCACACUGGGAAUGAGACACGGCCCAGACUCCUACGGGAGGCAGCAGUGGGGAAUUUUGGACAAUGGGCGCAAGCCUGAUUCAGCCAUGCCGCGUGCAGGAUGAAGGCCUUCGGGUUGUAAACUGCUUUUGUACGGAACGAAAAGCCCCGGGUUAAUACCCUGGGGUCAUGACGGUACCGUAAGAAUAAGCACCGGCUAACUACGUGCCAGCAGCCGCCGUAA